ensembl:scaRNA
UGGACACGUAAGUUUUCUUUCAGUUUCUCCUCUAUGUGGGGAAAACUGUACAAGUGUCCUAUAGUAACACAGAAGCUAUCUGUUCAACUCUGAUGAGUUAAUGGGGUUGGAUCGUUCCACUUCUGACAGCU